rnacentral:rRNA from 1 species
UACGAAGGGGACUAGCGUUGUUCGGAAUUACUGGGCGUAAAGCGCACGUAGGCGGAUUUGUAAGUCAGGGGUGAAAUCCCGGGGCUCAACCUCGGAGCUGCCUUUGAUACUGCAAAUCUCGAGUCCGAUAGAGGUGGGUGGAAUUCCUAGUGUAGAGGUGAAAUUCGUAGAUAUUAGGAAGAACACCGGUGGCGAAGGCGGCCUACUGGGAUCGGUACUGACGCUGGAGGUGCGAAAGCGUGGGGAGCAAACAGG